UAUUAAAAAUUUCAUUCAUUUCUAUUGUUAAAAAUUGACGUGACUAACAGAAUAACCACAAUUACAUGUGGCGUACCAAGUGUACCUCGUGCUGAAGUAUAGGAACUAGUUUUUAACAGUAGAAAUGGAUGGAAGUUUUAACA
rfam:Gossypium arboreum cultivar AKA8401 contig_151_3, whole genome shotgun sequence.